UCAGACCCUCACCCAUCUACUCCUGGAAUAGACCCCUCACCUCUGGCUGACUUACUCAAGUCCUCAAAUCAUGAUUUAAAGACUUCAAGUAAGUGACAGAAU